GACGAACGCUGGCGGCGUGCUUAACACAUGCAAGUCGAACGGUGAACCCCUUCGGGGGGGAUCAGUGGCGAACGGGUGAGUAACACGUGAGCAACCUGCCCCUGACUCUGGGAUAACCCCGGGAAACCGGAGCUAAUACCGGAUACGACCCGCUCGGGCAUCCGAUGCGGGUGGAAAGAUUUAUUGGUUGGGGAUGGGCUCGCGGCCUAUCAGCUUGUUGGUGGGGUAAUGGCCUACCAAGGCGACGACGGGUAGCCGGCCUGAGAGGGCGACCGGCCACACU
rnacentral:rRNA from 1 species